UAGAGAAAUUGAUUUUUCCCAGAAUUUAUUUCUAUUAGGAAGAAAUUACAUCAGUUACAUAUACAACUUUCUUCAACAACAGUUUCCGUUCACGACUUGAUGCUAUUUAUAGAGAAAGGAAUUUUUCUCCGAAUAUUUUUAUUCAACGGAUGGUUUGCUUCAAUUACAUAUAUGCAGCUUACCUCAGCAAGCAUUUCGGUUGAAGGUAUUAAAACGUCGUGGCUGUAUUCAUCUAACAGGACAUAACGUACAUAAUUAAUUUGUCAUCAUGGCUAUUGAAGGUAGCCCUCGCAUGAGGUUUGAUGGUGAUGUUGAUCUGGUUCUGUACAAUAAAAGAUCAGAUAUAGAUGCUUUCUCCAGACCAACAACAGGAACCGACAUAAAAUUAGAAGAUGCGUUGAAUAAAGAAGCAGAUGUUAAUGGGUAUUUCAGAGAGGCUUGGACUAAAGCGGAACAAAGUGACAGGCUGUCCGAUCUUGUCCAAAAAUACGAAAAAACACUAAGGAAGAGUGAGAUCAAGUUAAUCAUGGCAUACACCUAUGGUGGGAAUACUGGAUUUUUUAGCGAAUUAAAUGAAGAUUUUCGAAACAAAAAACUAAUGGGAGGACGUUUUCCAAAUGCCAAAAGAAUUUUGCGUAAUGCUUUGAUUAAAUUGGGGACAUUUCAGAACAGAGAGGGUAUUAAGUUACCUGAUGUUCUUUACAGAUGGGAACCUAGUUCCCUUGCGAAGAAAUACAAAGACCAGGGAGGACAGGAGUUGCACCUAAACAUGUUUACUUCAACCAGUUUGGGGAAGGGCUGUACGCACAAUCAACAGAACAACAUGCUAGUCCAAUUCAAAAAUCCAGAAACUGGGGCGUUCAUAAGGGACUUUUCUUUCUACCCUGAUGAAGAUGAAGUAUUAUUACCGCCACUACAUGGGAAAAUAAAAGUCAAGACGGCAGCCGAAAAUGGAUCUGAAUUUGAGGGACCAUAUUUUUAAUUCUGUUUUGAAUAACAUGAAUUUAUCAUUCGGAGAUGCUAUUCAACUAUAUCAAGAAUAAAGUUCUCUAUUGAUAACAAAGAUAUUGGUUUAAUAUUUAAAUUUCAUCCAAUUAUUUUAUGGAUUCCGUGUUGUUUAGUUUAGUGUAUUGCUUGCCUGUUGUUGCAUUUGAAUAAUCUGAUUAAAACACAGAAUCCAUUUCGUUUCGUUUUUGUAGUUCAAAAUUUCGUUAUUCAUGUAUUCACGCGAUGUUGUGAACAUAGGCGGCCAAUCUUCUUUGUCACCCGAAUUCUCAGAAUGAAUCAACCAAUUUUCCACAAAGCUGUAAUUGUUGUUUUUUAUUUUUAAUUAAUUACACAAUUACACAAAAAUAUAAAUUACAAUAUGUUAAGCAAAAAACAACUUCAUGUUCCCCAUUCUCUGAUGUCUGUGCCCGCAAAACGGAAAUACAUUGCCAGAAAAAUUGGCUAUGGUUGUGGGGGCCAUUGGGAAUAUAAAACAACGAAACGAAAUAUAGAUAAGUAUUUUAAUCAGAUUGUAAUUUGAACUGCAUGUAUUUCUGUAUUACUUAUAAUUUGACCUGGAUGUAUUUUUGUAUUACUUGUCUGUUAUUUAGUUUGAAAUAUCGGCAGUUCUUUGAUUGUUUGCCUGUUAUUUUAAUUUAAACUAUAAACAGUAAUUUUAAAAAAAAUAUAUAUUUUAAUUGCUUUUAAUAAAAAUAUCAUUGAA